rnacentral:lncRNA from 1 species
UGCUUUUCAUAUUUAUCCGAAUAUUGCAUGGCUGGCGUUAAGCAGCAUUUUUUUCUCACUUUUGUUAAUAGUUCUCCAUCUGAAUUUGUGUGUAUUUCAAAAACUCAUCAAAUCAUAAAAUGGUUAUCCAGUUUUUUCAUAAAUUUUAGGUUUCCAGCAUCACUAAAGACACACGAUCAAGAGACAUAACGUCCAGUGCCAAAUAGUUCAUGCAUUGGUUUUAUAGAUUCUUUUUAUUAAUAUGAAUGUUAUGUGAUCAACGCCGGUUAUUAGUGAUUACCGUAAUUGCAAAUUUAAUUUGUACUGUAUAAAUUCGUUUUCUAGACUGUUGAUAGCGUAUUGUCCAGUUGCAAGUACUCUAUGCAUAUUUAGAGCGAAAUGGUUUUACAUUUGCUGUAUAAAUUAACUUUAGACUGUUGAUGGCAUAUUUCCAGUUGCAAGUAUUUCAUGCAUAUUUAGAGAGAAC